CAAGGACUACAGGGGUUGGUGCAGCCGUCUUGGGAGGUGGCCGAUGUAGAGGCAGGUUAUCAUAAUCUUUGGCCUUGCGAGAGCCUAAUUCGAAGAAUGGGUUUUAUUUGCUUCAUCUAAUUUGAUUUGUUUUAUUUUAUGUCAAAAGCAAUAUAGAUGUUAAGAUGUUUGUAAAGAGAAUGAAAGAAAGUUUCCUGCUAAAGAGAAGAGGUGGCUGCACCGGGGAAAACAGUUCGGCGGUGUGCCAAACAAGAGAAAUAGCUAAUGAAAGGGGAUAUGAUAAACAAUAAAAGAAGUGGAGAGGAGAUGAGGGGGAGCAACAACUACCAUUAAUGGCACUAAAUCAUGUACCUAGGCAGUGCAGAUAUGUGAACAAAUCUAUAGAUUCUAUGUUGACGUUGUUGGCUUCUUGCAAGUCAAGUAUCCUUAUGCCCUUGAUUUUGACGAUGCUUGGUAAUACUAUUAUCUAUAUUUAUAUGUUUUAUUCAUCAAUUAACGCUAGGAAUUUAAGUUUCAUAGAAACUCAUUUCGUGGUUAUUCAAUAUAAGUCCAUAGUAGGUUAUAUAAUCAAGUUAUUGGGAUUCUUCAUGUACAAGAGACGCUUGGGCGAUUGUUAAUGGCUGGAAAUACAUGUGAGAGAAAAGACCAGCAAUUGAGCUACAUCAUUAUGCACGUGAAUGGGUAUGGGACCUGUACUUUAUAUACAUGAAAAACUUUUAUUUUUCAAUAACACUAUAUAACUUCACUUGGCACUGAACAAAGGAUAAUUAAUAGUCAGUGUCGCACUCUUAAAGACUUCGGCAUUUUUCCUUUCUUUUUUGAUGACACUAUAUAACUAUACUUGGCACUGAACGAAGGAUAGCCAGUGUGGCACAUUUUAAGACUUCAGCAUUUUCUAUAGUUUGUAGAGAAUCUUUACGUUUUCAUAUAUUUAGUAUUCUGAAUAUAAUUUUGAUGAAAGAUGAAAGACCAUUGUAGGUUGAAAUAUAAUUAGCAUAAAAGAAUAGUAAUUUUAAUUGGUGGAUGAAAGUCGUAUCUGGGGAUCAGUGACCAUGAUACAUUGAAUAUUUGAUUGUUUCGUAUCUCCGUCUGAUGGUUGUUCAUGCUAAAGGAGGUGUAUUUUUCUGCUAGCUUUGGCAAGUUGGUCAGUCAGUUUCAGAGUUGUCUAUGUGUCAGCAAAAGCCUAACAAUCACAUUAUAGGGGUGAACUAUGCUCAUCGGGUUCGUUUUUAGCCGUUAUUUAUUGGAGACGAGGCUGCAUGAUUCAUAUUAUGCUAACAAUAUGUUGUAUUUAUAUUUGUACACUCAAGGUAUUCAAUUUAUUUGCUCAACUGACUUUCUGAAGCCUAUGUUGUUAUCAUCUUACUCUCAUGUGAACGAUGCAUGUGCAGGUGUCGUAAAACAUUACUCUCAUGUAAAUUUUUGAUUAGCAGGGUUGAUUUUCGUGUUUGUGUUUCUUACAAUGGUAAUGGGUGUUUCAGAUUUGUUGGUUUUGAAGAUUGUGUUAGGUUGAAUUGUUCUUUUGUCAAAUUGUGUACAAUCCGGUCAAGUGCUGGCUUUGGUGCUCCCUUGCCACCACAUGCAGACAAUGGUCUUCAACUUCAUUUUCAGUGUGCCUCUCAUAAAUUGGUAUAUGAAGAUAAGACUGAAAUGGUCCUUUUCAUUUAAUUGUAUUUUUUCUCGACUAUUUUUCUUUUGAAGAUGAAAUUGAAUGGUAAUGAACUGAAGGAUGAAGUUCAGAACCUCA